rnacentral:lncRNA from 1 species
UGUGACAGCGACAGUGACCAAGAAGAGAAGGUAAGCCCCCCCUCGUCCCCACACUGUGGGCGCAGUACAUAAACAGCGUGAAGCCCGGGGUCUCCCUCGCACAGCCGCAGGGGGUGGGGGGCCAGCUUCGUGUUAACAGCACCUCCUGUCUGCAAAGAAGGGCUUUAUUUACACAGUAAUGUCUCCAGUAAUAAGAAAGAACACACUUAAUUUGUGAGGCCCACUUUUCAAAAAGAAGCCCUUUAAUACUGGGUAUAUGUGACACUAAGUUUGCACUUUAUAGAAGGUUUUAAAAGAGGAAAUUAUUUUAAUAGCCAUCUGACUUUUCUUAUUUAAUCCUGGGUUGGAACAUUCAGCCUGCUAGUGUGCAUUUAUGAUGUCACUCCCUCGUUCUUUUUCCUGACCCGUUUGCUUGUUCCUGCUUUUCUGUAUAUAUCAGCCUUCUUGAUAGAAAUGUCAACGGGACGUUCCUGGGUGUGUCUUCAGGGGGAGAGGGGGCGGGGCAUAUCGGUGGGAACCGCCCCCUUCUCGUCCAGGGGCUGGUCAGGUGGGAGGGCGGUUCUUCCAGCAGGCACAUGCCCUGUUUCGAGGCUGAUGGCCACCAGCCUCGGUGUAUCCAGCUCGACGCGGAUCAAGAAAAGGAGCUCAGUUUCUGAGCUUCCAGAAGAUCGGAUCACAACCUGGUAACGUGCACGCUCUGCUGCCUGAGGCUAAGGGAUUGUCUGUUUGCUCUUUCCUUCCAGCUGUCCCAACCACCAACCAGAUUUCUUUGCAAUUUUAUUCCCACUCUAUAUGUUUUGAACAGUUCCCUGAAUAUCAUGGUUUCUGUACUGCUGAGCAUCCUAAGGAAGGGACUAAUCCUCCCUUCCCCAGUUUCAGCAGAGCUGGCUUCCCUGAGCCCUGGUCCCUGACUCUCGCCUCCUACAUGCUCACGGAUUUUACUCAGAAUCCUGCGGUUGGUAUUCGGUGGACUCUCUGCGUCGAGCCCAGAAUUUUCCCUGCUUCUCUGCCGCCAGCCUCCAAGAGAGAUCUAAAGGCUCUUGUUCUGUGCUGUCGUUAAUUUGAAUUCAGCAUAUGUAGCCCGUUAUAAAAUGCGAGACAUCAUCAUUUGAGCAGGUCAAGCAUAUUCAGAUGAAGACAAAUGGUGCUUAUUUGAUUUCCUUAAAAUCAGGAAAUGAAAAAAGUGCUCUCUGGAGAAAUCAUGUUCUGCCCGCCUUGGAUGAUAGACCAAUGCAUGUCCCCCAGAUAAGAACAGGCUCUCGCCUUGAGGUUUUUAUCUCUGAAGGACGGCUAGGACUGUCAGCUUGCUGACAUGUGCAUUAUCCAUGUCACUUUAAACAAAGUGACCUAUGGAAGGGUGCGCUGUGCUGUGACAUGGUAAUGGGCUGUUGGAUGACAGUGAAAGUACACACUGGAAAGGGGGCUGUGGAUUCUUCUUUUGUUUAACUGACAAGUGGGAGCUUCGUUCCUCCAGUCCCCGGGGAGUCCUAGCUCCUUGGAAGUCAGGCCCAUGGUGUCUCAGGCAGCCGGUGUGUAGCCGGUGCCUGGGCGCCCGGGCAGCGGUAGGGCUUCGGUGAUCUGGCGAGCCCGCUGGCCCCCGAGGCCAUCCAGGCCACAUCCCACGUGGCAGCCCUUAUCUCGUUCUGUCGGGCAUCCCGAGCACCCAGGGAGGGGCUGGCACUCCUGGCUGCUCCAGGAGAUCUUUUACAGAUGAUGGUCCCUCUCACUGGCCAGGUGGGUGGCCCUUCUCCAAGGGGCUGAGGCUUCCUUGGGGUUUCCCAGCCCAGUAGACAUUCUUUCUUGAAAGGCGGUGUGAGUUCAGAAGUGUCACAGUCUCUAACAGCAGCAGAAGGUGGCAAGGACAAGACGUCCAGUUUUAGGUUCAUGUGGGUGUCUUGAUCAGCCAUCUCAACCUAGACGGUGCUUCGGAAGCCCCCCGGGAGCUGUCCAAGUCCCAGACCCUGUCCCAGGCCAGUUGCUGCAGACUCUCCGAGGGUGUCUAGCUCCCUUGUCUAGAGGGCCACCUAACUGGGAACCUCUAGAAUCAUCAGCACUGCCUGUGUGCGGUCUGAAGGCCAAGGUGUUUCUUCCUGCAUCCGGAGAGCACUCCUGCUUGUCGUUUGCGGGGGGCCCUGAAUCCCCGAGUCUUUGCCGCUGGGUUUCCAUCUCCCAGUGUGGGAAGCAGCCAAGUAUUUACCCAGAAGAGCGGGCAGUGAGAACAGAGCCAGCACCCUCUGCUCUGAGUUCGGGGUGAUUUCGGGACAAGGAAGGAGAAUGAGGCGAUGUCUGUAGGCACGUCCACAGGAGGGGCGACAACGGGGCACAGAGGGCCAUCGGGGGCGUCCAUCUGACAGGCGUGCCCCUCCUGCCUCGGCUGCCCAGGCGCCUUGCCCUUGAGCUGUGGUGGCCCUGUAGGUCUUCUUCACCCGGAGCUGCCCUGCCACCCAGCUUUUCCCCAGAGGGCUCCAGAAGAGUCAUAAGGACUCUGUGAUUGUCGUGGUGCCUGCCUGGCCCAGUUAGAGUUAAGACAGUCAGGCUUCCCCCUUGGACUGGGAGUGUCUGGUGUUUAUCACCGACUUUCACACCAUCCUCCCAGACUUUCCGCUCGGUGCCCAAGCCUGGGCCCCUGUCAGCCUCCUCUGUGCCAGGGCCUCUUGCCUGGGCCCCCCUCAGAGCCCCAGAGCCAACUGAGGCUGCUUUCAUGUGCUGCUUGGAGGACUCGCAUUCAAAUCUGAAUUGCUAAUGGUGGCAAAGAUGCCACUCAGUGUCCUGGGAUCCCUUCAGCAGCCCCACCAGGGAUGCUGUCGGAGGCAAGAGUGAGACUCGUAGGGGACCCACUGGGAUUUCUCUCCGGAAGACCUGUCAUUCUCUUUCUCCGUAGGGAUCUGCAGAGCUGGCGGUCUAAAAUUAGGGUACUGUAUUUCACACAGCUGACUGAAUUAAGAUAAACUCUGCUUUCCUCUGAUCUGAAGUGGCAAUUUAUAAAAUGAUACCCUUACUAAUUAAUGUGGAAGUGACUGGGAAAGGGGCUAGAAGAGAAGCGCUCUCCAUAAAUGCAGGAUUCCAUCUUAUACAUGGAAAAGGCUUUGAUGAGACCCUGAGCACAGCAUCUCUUGGCCUCCCCUCCCAGCCACGUGAAUAUAUUUCCCAUUCAUGUCAGGGGACCUGGAGGACUUUUGUGAAGAGCAGAAAUUGGGUGGGGGGUUAGAGAAGGCUGGGCACACUGCAUCUGAGAUUUAGGAUCAUUCUUCAUUGCAGUUGGUGCAAAGAAAAGAGGCAGCACUUAGCACCUUAAUCACCCAAAGUAAGCAGCUAUUCCGAUCCCCCCUCAGAGUGAACCGAUAGCAUGAGAACAAAGAGGCAGCAGGCGUAGUUCCACAUAUCUGGCCUGUACUUUCUAGUUUGCUCUCUUUCUCUACCACUGGCAGCCACGCAUUGUGCUAAGAGACACCCCCUGUUUGGUUAUGAAAUCAAGGUUAAAAGUCGUUCUUUUUCCACUUACUCACUUCCUGUGUAACUUGUGGACCAUGUGAUGGAGUUUGUUGGAAGGCGUCGGGCCCACUGGUCAAGCACCUGGGCCUCCGGGCCUCCGGGCCUCCAGGUCCAGCUCGGGCCAUCUUUUAUUCCUCUAGAGCCGUGGAGAAGCCUCGGUCCUCAUAUCUGAGAAACGGGGGUAACAACAGCCCCCCCAACAGUUCUAAAACAAUUAAAUUGACUCCGUGCCUGGUCUGUAGUCAGUGUUUGCUACGUGUUAACUUUCAUUCGUUUUCCUUGGAGCCAAGUAAGAGCCUCACUUGGGAGAGGAGGAAGCUAUCCUUCUCUUCCGAAAGCUCAGAAUCGGCCAGAAAACCUGCCAAAGGAUAAGAGGUGUAAUUUUUUUUCCCCCACUGGAACCCAAGGCUCAGCUUUCAUCCCCUAGGGCGCUUCUUCCUGACAGAGGCUGAAUGGAAGUGCUGUGAGGUUUGGAAGAGUCCCGGAACCAUGAUGUUUAUUCCUUAUCCCAAACAUCAAGCUUUUCCUUCAGGCAUAACCUGGAGCCAAGAGCAAGCCUGCUGUCCUGGAGGGUCAGACGGUGAUGGAGUGGAUUGCAGAGCCCUCAUCCCAUGUGCCAAAUACUGUCGUUCCCAGACACCCAUCACAGGAGAGAGGGUCUGAUUCAGAACAUCUGGGGUAGGGCCACAGCAUCCGUAUUGUUUUAGAAACUUCCUAGAAAAUUUUCGUACCACUCGUUUUGAGAACUACUGCCUUAUAACAAAUGUCAGAGAGAAGCAUUUGCCUUCCUCCUGUUUAAUGCUUUAAAAAUUUUAACAGCUGGGAGUUCCCAUCAUGGCUCAGCGGAAACAAAUCUGACUAGGAACCAUGAGGUUGCAGGUUCAAUCCCUGGCCCUGCUCAGUGGGUUAAGGACCCAGCAUUACCGUGAACUAGGCUUGGAUCUGGUGUUGCCAUAGCUGUGGAGUAGGCUGGCAGCUGCAUCUCCAGUCUGACCCCUGUUGGUUCCCAGGCUAAGGGAACCUCCAUAUGCUGCAAGCAUGGCCCUAGACAGACAAAAAAAAAAA